rnacentral:tRNA from 1 species
UCCCUUGUGGCUCAGACGGUUAAGUGUCUGCCUACAAUGCAGGAGACCCAGGUUCGAUCCCUGGGUCGGGAA